AAGGGCUGCCAGCUCUCCCUGGGGAGUGAGUCUGGAGCUGUGAAACCCAGAAGAAGAGAAGUGUCUCCCUGCAGUAAGGUGCACAGCCCCCGGACAGCAGCAAGGUGUCUCCUGCCUUUUCCUGGGAGCUGAUGUAGGUGGUGUCCACCUCGGUGCGUGGCGCUGGUCACUGAGGUCCCCACCCCAAAGCACAUCGCUCUCCCCACACGCUGCAGCAGGUGUUUGGCAUCCUGGGGCUGAAGCAAUUCAUGGUUUCACAUCGAAGGCGGCAGUCAGCUGGAGAAAGAAGGCACCAUCCUAAAUAGCUCCCGUCCAUCCUCCUGCAUCCCCAGCAGGUUAUAACCCCCUCAGACGUGGCAGCAGGCAUUCCUCAGUCAGACUUGCCAGUGAAAGAAGAGUGUGGUGGCUUUCAGAUCAAAUCAUCUUUGCCAGCCAAAGCAGUGUCUUCUUCCCUGCUUCUAAGAGGCAUGAGCUUAAUCAACGAGUCUCGGAGUGGGGUGUAUCUACAGUCGUAGCUGUGAAGAGAGGUGAUUAUUCCUCCCUAAUAAUUCAGUUUCGCAUAAGGAAAUUAUCACACACACAGGGGCGUGCACCUUCCUCUGUUCUGUCAACAUGCGCUGCUAG
rnacentral:lncRNA from 1 species